GAUGAACGCUGGCGGCGUGCCUAAUACAUGCAAGUCGAGCGAACAGACGAGGAGCUUGCUCCUCUGACGUUAGCGGCGGACGGGUGAGUAACACGUGGAUAACCUACCUAUAAGACUGGGAUAACUUCGGGAAACCGGAGCUAAUACCGGAUAAUAUAUUGAACCGCAUGGUUCAAUAGUGAAAGACGGUUUUGCUGUCACUUAUAGAUGGAUCCGCGCCGCAUUAGCUAGUUGGUAAGGUAACGGCUUACCAAGGCAACGAUGCGUAGCCGACCUGAGAGGGGGAGCGGCCAAACUGGAACGGGAACCCGGUCCAGACGCCAAGGGGGGGCGGCAGGGGGAAAUUUUCCGAAAGGGGGGAAAGCCGGACGGAGCAACGCCGGGGGGGUGAUGAAGGUUUUCGGAUCGUAAACCUUUUUUAUUGGGAAAAAAAAAAUGUGUAAGUAACUUUGCCCUUUUUAAGGGGACCAAAUCAGAAAGCCCCGGUAAACUACGU
rnacentral:rRNA from 1 species